CAGGUACAAUCAUAUUUCUUAGCGUUAUUGUGGCCAAUGCAAAUAAUUUAACAAUUUUACUUAGAAUGCAGCUACCAUAAGCAGGCUGGAGCUAGCUGGGGUAACCGCCCUUAUAGACACCUAUGCUGCUUUUUGUUUCUGCUGUUGAAGUUACAGCCAAUUUAUGUUCAGCAUUUAGUUUAUUUGCUUGGGCUAGCCUUAGUUAUGAUUUGCAUAUCAAUCGCCUUAGUUAUGAUUUGCAUAUCACUUAGUUAUGAUUUGCAUAUCAAUCCCUUGGUUGGAGGAUGAAUCUCGCUACAUACUAAAAGGAUGUUAAUCACCGCAUUGGAACUACCUCCCACGAACUACAUACUAAAAGCAGGUUGCGGGAUGGGAACUUCUCUUAAUCAACUCAUCACCUAAUCCUGAACACUAAACUGAAGACUACACCAAACUCUUAAAAGCUAAAGCAUGAAAUUUACAUUAUGUUGUGGGGUUUGUUAAUUUAUGUUUAUAUGUGUGUGGUGGUUACGAUAGUUUGUUAAGUUUUAUUUAUUUUGAUAGUGUUAAAGUAUACUGUGCACUUACAGUAAUUUCAAGGAGAGAAUAACAUAAUAUUUUCUCAGAAAAAGAUUCUAAUAUAGUUAAUCAAACAAAUAUUUGAAUACACUCGUUUACUUCAUAUCCUGUCUAACAUUUAAUUAAAUUUAUAAUAGGAUGCAUGAGAAAAUUAUUAGAAACAUUGCAUAAGAAAGAUGUGAAUAUUGUGAUUUUGAUUAAAUUAUGAGAGCAGCAACGUGCUUGAAUUGAUUGAUUGAGUUUUUCCCCCGGUGUCAAAUAUAGUGUUAGUGGAGAAAUGUUUCAGUCCGGAAUUUUAAAGUGCGGGAAAGUACGG
rnacentral:lncRNA from 1 species